rnacentral:rRNA from 1 species
UGGGGAAUUUUGGACAAUGGGCGAAAGCCUGAUCCAGCCAUGCUCGCGUGAGUGAAGAAGGCCUUCGGGUUGUAAAGCUCUUUCAGACGGAAAGAAAUCGCAUCUUCUAAUACAGGGUGUGGAUGACGGUACCGUAAGAAGAAGCACCUGGCUACACUACGUG